GCAAACUUGGUCAUUUAGAGGAAGUAAAAGUCGUAACAAGGUAACCGUAGGUGAACCUGCGGUUGGAUCAUUACAAAAAACUUGAUUUGUUGGGCGAUAAAUUUCCCCUUCAACAUCAAUAUCCACCUUUUUGUGAACUGUUUUUGUAUUUUGGCGGCCCACAUGACCUGCGUGAUCCAGGCUCAUGAGGCGGUCAGUGCCCUUGCUUCGGUACGCCGCGGCAUGCGGAUCACCUAACUGCCAGGGGUCGUCAGCUGUUUUUUUAAACUCUUGUCGUUUUGUGCCUGUGAAAGUGUCGUCCUCCAAUUUUGCGAGGAGUUUUUUAUAAAUUAAAAAACAACUUUUGACAACGGAUCUCUUGGCUCUCGCAUCGAUGAAGAACGCAGC
rnacentral:misc_RNA from 1 species